rnacentral:lncRNA from 1 species
AUCAGGAAGUGCUGAGGGACAGGAAAUCAGACAGAGAUGGCAGCUGGGCAUCCAGAUGUCUGGCCCCAAGGCUCAGACAAGGGCAGCUAGUGUUGUCAUCACGAAGCCUCUCAUGCAGCGCGAUGUCAGGAUGGGCCCAUGCGCGGGUGGAAGGCAUGUGGGGGCCAUGUUGCCAGCUGCGGAUGGACAGGCUUCUGAUAUCAGGCUGUGACAGCACUGUCAUCUCCCAAGAAUCCAGCAUCCGUCUGCAUGGAUUGCAUGCCAUCCUUGAAUCCACUCACUUGCCCAGCCCCUGAACCAACUGAUGAAUGUGGUGAAGUCUUCCCUUCGUCACCCCAGGUGCAGCCACAGCCUCUGCAGCCACCCUGGGGGAGAGACAGCUCCAGAUUCCCGCAAGGAGCAAAGAGAUUUUUGACUUUGUCUUCUUUUAUUGACAUUGAGGAGAAGCUUCUGACUCAGGCGAGCCUCACAAUAAGCUGUUUUUCAACUUCAGUAGACCCGGACCUGCUAAGGUGAGGUGUUCUGGAAGGGUCUCUGCUCCUAGCAGUCACUGGCAGCUUGCCCAAAUUGGAGAAGUUUAACAUCUCUUUUCUCUGAGAAGUAAAAUGUGUUUCUUUGGUGGAUGUGAAACCAACAAACCACUGUGGUGCCUCUCUACAUCUGAAGGAUGAGCCAGCCAAGCCAGGGGAACUGACGACCCCACACACGUCUGCACUGCUGUGGCCGUGUUGAACACGGACUCCUUCUUCAGGGCAGCCUUGGGCCAUCGGAGGGCUGCUGUAUGCAGUGACGGCCACCAAGUGUCCUUGGCCAGGGGAGUGAUUUACAGGGACUGAGAUCCUGACUUGUGACCCAGACACGAAUGCAUCCUUGUUCCAUUUUGUUAUUGCUCAACCGUCAUCUGGCCAUCCCCAAAGCCCACCUCUGUGAGAAAGGCCAGUGCUUGUCCUCGUGACACCCCUGAGACCUCGAUGGAGCAAGUCCCAGGGCCCAUCAUACAUUUUUAAAGAAAAUCUUCUUUUGGUGAGAAGAUCAAAGGGCCAGGCAGAAAUGGAAAAGCACUUUCUGGCAUCAGACUUCCUCUGACUUCUCCGGUUGCCACACCACUGAAAGACUGCCCCACAGUGCGAGGGACGUCCACAUCUGCCUGGCUCUCCGAGGGAUGAACAGCCUUCAGUUCAGCUUCCUGUCACACCCCAAAAUCCACCAGGGCUCUGCAGUCAUAGAGCCCUGGAACCCAGAGGUGGAAACUUAAAGGAAUGAGUGCUCUCUCGCUCCAAAACCACAGAUAUCUGGUCCAUAGAGAACCCACCACACUUGUAUACAUUUUCAUACGUCUGCGCACAUACACAAAUGCACAAACACAUGUUCAGCUGUUGAUAAUCAUCUGAUCUUUUGCUCUUUCGAUGUAAAUAUGGCCAGAUAUCUCUGGCUUUAAUUCUCAUUAAAAUUUUGAAAGUUAUACUUUCUAUACAAUAUACAUCAUGGAUGUCCAAUCUUUUGGCUUCCCUGUGCCAGAUUGAAAGAAGAAGAAUUGUCUUGGGGCCUGGCGUGAUGGCUCAUGCCUAUUAAUUCCAACACUUUGGGAGGCGGAGGUGGGAGGAUCACCUGAGAUCAGGAGUUCACGACUAGCCUGGCCAACAUGGUGAAACCCCCCCAUCUCUACUAAAAAUAUAAAAAUUAGCGAAGCAUGGUGGCACAUGCCUGUAAUCCCAGCUAUGCAGGAGGCUGAGGCAGGGGAAUCACUUGAUCCCAGGAAGCAGAGGUUGCAGUGAGCCAAGAUUGCACCAUUGCAUUCCAGCCUGGGCAACAGAGUGAGACCCAGUCUCAAGAAAAAAAAAAAAGAAUUAUCUUGGGCCACACAUACACACAUAAAAUACACUAACACUAAUGAUAGCUAAUGAGCUAAAAAAAAUUUCAAGAAUAUCAUAAUGUUUUAAGAGUUUAUGAAUUUGUGUUGGGCCACAUUCAAAGUCAUUGUGGGCUGCAUGUGGCCCGAGGGCCGCAGGUUGGACAAGCUUGAUAUACAUAUUAUGUAUAUUAUAUAUUUCUGUGAAAACAGAAUAAAUCCAAGACUGAGGAUCUAAUUCCAAAAUUCAUUUUUGUAGGCAUUCUGAGACUUAACUAUUUUUCUAGUCACAUAAUAAGGAAAGGAUCCUUACAGAAAUACUGAAAGCUCUUGGUUCUGCCUUUGCUGAUGUUUUCUCUUUUCUCUAUUCCCUCUCCCUUCACACUCGUCCUCAUUCUACAGCCUCAAGCUUGUGUCAUUGUUCACAUCUGCUUCCCCAUCUCUGGAGUCUCUGUCAAGGCUCACCCUGGAUUUGAGGUAGGUUAAGUAGCCAAUGAGCCCAGCUGGUCCACAGACACCAAAAUUGUGUGUCCUGGAUGAAGUCAGCAUCUUUCCCUCGCCCUGUGCCUUUCUUGUCUGUUGGUUCCUAUUUCUGUUCCUACUCACAAUCUACCUCUGGGGAUAUCACCUGUCU